GAUGAACGCUGGCGGCGUGCCUAACACAUGCAAGUCGAACGAAGCAAUUANAAUGAAGUUUUCGGAUGGAUUUCUGAUUGNNUGAGUGGCGGACGGGUGANUAACGCGUGGAUNACCUGCCUCACANNGGGGGAUAACAGUUANAAAUGGGUGCUAAUACCGCAUAAGCGCACAGNACCGCANGGUACGGUGUGAAAAACUCCGGUGGUGUGAGAUGGAUCCGCGUCUGAUUACUUAUUUGGCGGGGUAACGGCCCACCAAGACAGCGAUCAGUACCCGACCUGAGAGGGUGACCGGCCACAUUGGGACUGAGACACGGCCCAAACUCCUACGGGAGGCAGCAGUGGGGAAUAUUGCACAAUGGGCGAAAGCCUGAUGCAGCGACCCCGCGUGAGUGAAGAAGUAUUUCGGUAUGUAAAGCUCUAUCAGCAGGGAAGAAACUGACGGUACCUGACUAAAAAGCCCCGGCUAACUACGUGCCAGCAGCCGCGGUAAUACGUAGGGGGCAAGCGUUAUCCGGAUUUACUGGGUGUAAAGGGAGCGUACACGGCGAAGCAAGUCUGGAGUGAAAACCCAGGGCUCAACCCUGGGACUGCUUUGGAAACUGUUUUGCUAGAGUGUCAGAGAGGUAAGUGGAAUUCCUAGUGUAGCGGUGAAAUGCGUAUAUAUUAAGAGGAACACCAGUGGCGAACGCGGCUUACUGGACGAUAACUGACGUUGAGGCUCGAAAGCGUGGAGAGCAAACAAGGAUUAUAUACUCUGGUAGUCCACGCCGUAAACGAUGAAUGCUAUGUGUUGGGGGGGCAAAGCUCUUCGGUGCCGUCGCAAACGCAAUAAGCACUACCACCUGGGGAGUACGUUCGCAGAAUGAUCUCAGGAGGUAUUCGACGGACACCCGCACAGGCGGUAGCAGCAUGG
rnacentral:rRNA from 1 species